rnacentral:rRNA from 1 species
CUACCAUGGCCAUCACGGGUAACGGAGAAUUGGGGUUCGAUUCCGGAGAAGGAGCCUGAGAAACGGCUACUACAUCUACGGGAGGCAGCAGGCGCGUAAAUUACCCAAUCCUGACUCAGGGAGGUAGUCACAAGAAAUAGUAUACCAGAGAUUAACAUCUCUAGUUUUACAAUGAUUAUACUUUAAAUACUUAUUUGAAGCCAAUUGGAGGACAAGUCUGGUGCCAGCACCCGCGGUAAUUCCAGCUCCAAUAGCGUAUCUUAAUGUUGUUGCAGUUAAAAAGCUCGUAGUCGAAUUUCUGGCCAGAGCACGAUCCAAUUCUGGUUUCGGAGCUCUAGGUCAUCCGCCUGUGAUCAAUUAUCGUGUUUAACAGCUCGUGAUUAGGAGCAGGCAUUUUACUUUGAAGAAAUCAGAGUGUUUCAGGCAGGCUUUCGCUUGAAUACACCAGCAUGGAAUAAUGGAAAAGGACUGGUUCUUGUUAUUGGUCACUAGAACUAGUAAUGAUUAAUAGGGACAGUUGGGGGCAUUCGUAUUUGUCAGUCAGAGGUGAAAUUCUUCGAUUUGACAAAGACGAACUAAUGCGAAGGCAUCUGCCAAGGAUGUUUUCAUUGAUCAA